GACUCGGACCCAUGCGGUUCUGACGCCCAAAUCUGGUCAGGACCGGAAGGUAGCAGCCACACGGGAUGCUCAGGAC
rnacentral:SRP_RNA from 1 species